AGAGUUUGAUCCUGGCUCAGAUUGAACGCUGGCGGCAUGCUUUACACAUGCAAGUCGAACGGCAGCACGGGGGCAACCCUGGUGGCGAGUGGCGAACGGGUGAGUAAUAUAUCGGAACAUAUCCGGAAGUGGGGGAUAGCUCGGCGAAAGCCGGAUUAAUACCGCAUAUGCCCUGAGGGGGAAAGGGGGGGAUCGCAAGACCUCUCGCUUUCGGAGUGGCCGAUAUCGGAUUAGCUAGUUGGUGGGGUAAAGGCCCACCAAGGCGACGAUCCGUAGCUGGUCUGAGAGGACGACCAGCCACACUGGGACUGAGACACGGCCCAGACUCCUACGGGAGGCAGCAGUGGGGAAUUUUGGACAAUGGGGGCAACCCUGAUCCAGCCAUGCCGCGUGAGUGAAGAAGGCCUUCGGGUUGUAAAGCUCUUUCAGACGGAAAGAAACGGUCGCGGCGAAUACCCGCGGCUAAUGACGGUACCGUAAGAAGAAGCACCGGCUAACUACGUGCCAGCAGCCGCGGUAAUACGUAGGGUGCGAGCGUUAAUCGGAAUUACUGGGCGUAAAGCGUGCGCAGGCGGUGCGUUAAGACAGCUGUGAAAGCCCCGGGCUUAACCUGGGAAUGGCGGUUGUUACUGGCGCGCUGGAGUGUGGCAGAGGGAGGUGGAAUUCCACGUGUAGCAGUGAAAUGCGUAGAGAUGUGGAGGAACACCAAUGGCGAAGGCAGCCUCCUGGGCCAACACUGACGCUCAUGCACGAA
rnacentral:rRNA from 1 species